rnacentral:other from 1 species
GCGAUGCUGCCCGGCCCGUGCAGGAACACUUAAAAUCCCAGGGCCUAUAAACGAUUUCAUCGGGAGCUGUCCCUGUCUCGGGCCGUGGUCUGGGACAAACGGCGCCCACCUACGCGAGUAGGGACCAGGGAUCGUUCGUUCCCACGGCCAUGGUGGCUCGCC